GAUGAACGCUAGCGAUAGGCUUAACACAUGCAAGUCGAGGGGCAGCAUGAUCUUAGCUUGCUAAGGUCGAUGGCGACCGGCGCACGGGUGCGUAACGCGUAUGCAACUUGCCUUACAGAGGGGGAUAACCCGUUGAAAGACGGACUAAAACCGCAUACACUUGUAUUAUUGUAUGAUAUUACAAGGAAAUAUUUAUAGCUGUAAGAUAGGCAUGCGUCCCAUUAGCUGGUUGGUGAGGUAACGGCUCACCAAGGCGACGAUGGGUAGGGGAACUGAGAGGUUUAUCCCCCACACUGGUACUGAGACACGGACCAGACUCCUACGGGAGGCAGCAGUGAGGAAUAUUGGUCAAUGGGCGAGAGCCUGAACCAGCCAAGUCGCGUGAAGGAAGACAGUCCUAAGGAUUGUAAACUUCUUUUAUACGGGAAUAACGGGCGAUACGAGUAUUGCAUUGAAUGUACCGUAAGAAUAAGCAUCGGCUAACUCCGUGCCAGCAGCCGCGGUAAUACGGAGGAUGCGAGCGUUAUCCGGAUUUAUUGGGUUUAAAGGGUGCGUAGGUUGUUCGGUAAGUCAGCGGUGAAACCUGAGCGCUCAACGUUCAGCCUGCCGUUGAAACUGCCGGGCUUGAGUUCAGUGGCGGCAGGCGGAAUUCGUGGUGUAGCGGUGAAAUGCAUAGAUAUCACGAGGAACUCCGAUUGCGAAGGCAGCUUGCCAUACUGCGACUGACACUGAAGCACGAAGGCGUGGGUAUCAAACAGG
rnacentral:rRNA from 1 species